rnacentral:misc_RNA from 1 species
CCAAUAGCGUAUAUUAAAGUUGUUGCAGUUAAAAAGCUCGUAGUUGAAUUUCGGGGUCAGUAGGUUGGUCGUGCCACCGGUACGUACUGGUCUCACUGAUUCCUCCUUCCUGAUGAGCUGUAAUGCCAUUAAUUUGGUGUUGCAGGGAAUCUGGACUGUUACUUUGAAAAAAUUAGAGUGUUUAAAGCAGGCUAACGCUUGAAUACAUUAGCUUGGAAUAAUGAAAUAGGACGUUCGAUCCUAUUUUGUUGGUUUCUAGGAUUGACGUAAUGAUUAAUAGGGAUAGUUGGGGGCAUUAGUAUUCAAUUGUCAGAGGUGAAAUUCUUGGAUUUAUUGAAGACUAACUACUGCGAAAGCAUUUGCCAAGGAUGUUUUCAUUAAUCAAGAACGAAAGUUAGGGGAUCGAAGACGAUCAGAUACCGUCGUAGUCUUAACCAUAAACUAUGCCGACUAGGGAUCGGAUGAUGUUAAUUUUUUAAUGACUCAUUCGGCGCCUUACG